UACGUAGGGGGCAAGCGUUGUCCGGAAUCAUUGGGCGUAAAGCGCGUGUAGGCGGCUCGAUAAGUCUGCUGUGAGAGUUCAGGGCUCAACCCUGAAAUGCCGGUGGAAACUGUCGAGCUAGAGUCCGGAAGAGGCGAGUGGAAUUCCUGGUGUAGCGGUGAAAUGCGCAGAUAUCAGGAGGAACACCAAUGGCGAAGGCAGCUCGCUGGGACGGUACUGACGCUGAGACGCGAAAGCGUGGGGAGCAAACAGG
rnacentral:rRNA from 1 species